GACGAACCGUGCGAACGUUGUUCGGAAUCACUGGGCUUAAAGGGCGCGUAGGCGGCUCAGCAAGUCGGGGGUGAAAUCUUUCGGCUCAACCGGAAAAGUGCCUUCGAUACUGCGGAGCUCGAGGAGGGUAGGGGUCACGGGAACGACCAGUGGAGCGGUGAAAUGCGUUGAGAUUGGUAGGAACGCCGGUGGCGAAAGCGCGUGACUGGACCCUCCCUGACGCUGAGGCGCGAAAGCUAGGGGAGCAAACGGG
rnacentral:rRNA from 1 species